UAAUAAAAAUAAAUAAAUAAAAAAAUAAUAAAAAAAAAAAUCUCUGUACUGUUUAGGCUAUGUGUUGUAGCCAUUAAAGAAAACAUUUGGUUUCAUAUUUGUUUAAAUAUUAUAGGCUAAUGUAAUUUUUUUAUUUAUUUAAUCAAUGUUUAUUAUGAAAGUGAGCAUGCAGCAUGAGAAAGAUAUGAUACAUCAUGCGCAAUAGCCUAUGAGACAUGGAGUGGGUAAGACAUGAUUUUGACCACUUUAUUGAGUUUUGUUUUGUAGAAAGACUCUGUUUAAAAGAUUUUCGUUUUGUAUAAAUUGUAUCUUAAUUUUGAUCAAUAUUUUAUCAACCCAUUGCCUGUAUUUAAUAAACAAGCAAAUAUAUUAGCAGACAAUGUAAUAAGGUGCCGGCACAUCACUUGUAUUGCACGUGAACUGGAGGGCGCAGAAACUCAGCUUGUGCCUCACAGACAGUUUUGAGAAAUAUAGGCUAUCUAUUAUAGAAAGCUUAAAAAUGUCUACUUUUAAACGAAAAUAUUCAAAACGAAAAGAAAUAGGCUACUCUCUGAAUAUGUAGGCCUAAUCCAUAUGAAAUGUGCAUUUCUCUCUGGCGUUCAUGGCGAGUCCGCAUCGUCUUUGCAGCGACACAGAAAUAUUAAAAUAAUUAAUCAUUAGUUUAUAUCUUAUACACUAUAUCUUAAUCCCACAUUAAACACAUUGUUAUGUCUGUUUUUUAUUUUUUGACAGCUCACUCAGGGCGGGUCUGUGAUAAAACCAAAGACUGACGCCACUGUCGGUCAACAAUUGUGGGAGGGGCCUGUCUGUGUGAUGUCACACUGGAAGGAAUCUGAGAACUGCUCAAUUUGAGAAAGGGGUGCUGAUGACACACAAGAAGAGACACCGAGACCAGAGCUCAAAGACGAUGAAAAUGAACGGUUCAUUUACGUUCAAGAGACUGCCAUAAGUAAAGCGUUUGGUGCUGAUAAGAGAUUGAGAGACAGAGAGGGCAAAAAGAGCCUUGUAAUCCGUAAAACCAAUACUGAAGAUGCUGGAGUUGAAACACAUGGAUCAGAUGGAAAAGCUCCUGGAAAGGAACUGAAAGAGCAUAAAGAAGAAUCAACAGGAAAAGACGUGAAUGAAGAAACACCUUUUAUGAGCCAAAAGGAAGAGGAUGGAUCAAAUGAGUAGAUAGUGUAAGGGAAACAGGUCAAU
ensembl:lncRNA